UUUCAGCAUAAUGUUUCAUCCUUUUUGCUUUGUUUUGCUUUGUACUAGGCAGGCAUCCAAAUCAUCCCUAAGGAAUCACUCUACCUGUUACUCCACAACUGCAGUGUGUUGGUGCCAAAGCUUGUUGUGUGACUCAUCAAAAGCCAAUGUGAUUUGAUGUGCUGCUGCAGUGCAAAGGACAUGCUGGAAUGGGAUGCAGCACAGUAGAAACUGGAAUACGCAAUUUUCUUCCAACUUUGAUAUCUGUUAAGCCCCAGCCAUCAGCAAAAUAGGGCUUGUGAGGACAUGAAAGCCUCAUUAUAUUAAAAUAAAGCACGAUAAGAAUGCACAGUAUUUUUGCAUCACAGCUUCCAGUUACAGCGUCUUUGUCUCGCAGAGGGCUGGAUGGUAGCACAUAGCUACAGCGCUGAGCAGAGACAAUGAAGAGCACAGUGUGGUGGGUCCCCAUGCCCCUGAGAUCACCUUGAGCAUGAAAACCAUACUUCUUCCAGGCAUGCAAGUUGGUGUGCUUGUGACAGCAAGCCUUGGAGCAUCUCCUUCUUGCCAUUUGCUGCCCCAAUGGAACUGAUUUACCUCCCUGGAGAGGUCAAGGUUGCUUCCCAGCAUAAUCUUACCUGGAGCUACAAGCAGGACGAAGAUGGAUCGCUGAUGCCCUCGGACACACCAUCUGUUUGCCUGCUGGCACCUGCCCAAAGGAAGGCUUUAUUUCAGCAGUGAAGCGUAUGGUGGAGUGAGUUUGGAAACUACUGAAGGAGAAAAAAUGGUGCUCUACUAUAUGAUGCUAAUACUGGUGUAAUGCGCUUGCCCUU